AGCUAGGAAGAAAUAAAAGUAGGAUCAGUCUGAUGAACACAGGAGUUUGAAACCAUGGGAAUGAAAGCAGACUAGAGCAAAGCCUCAUUCCAUCAGAUCCACUAACAGGAAACUCUGCAUGCAUCAAUCAAGUGGAAAGUGCCAGCCUUCUUGGUGCAUAUGUCUGGACAGAAUUUGAUUCCAGAGGAGAUUGGCUUCCCUCCGGGGCUGGCGGCCGCUGUGAGUGAUGUCACCAGCUGGUUGGCAGUGAGGUGACAAUGUAAAUCAGCUGCUAAGCAGCAAGGACAAGCACAGACCAAGGACUAACCACAGGGCUGAAAGGGAGAACUCUCACCUGGGAGGCAGAAUGGAGGGGCCAGCUGAGUCCUGGAAGCAGAUGGUGGACGGGGCCUGUAGCCACAGAGAGAAUUCAACACAGCAGUAUGGUUUGUGACUUCAGAGGCUUAAACCAUGUAAACAACUCCAGGGAUCCACAGUGUGGGGCCCCAUGAAGUAUUAGCCUUUCUCUUUUCAUUCAACCUCAUAGACUCUAACUGGAAGUGACUGUCAUGGCCAAAUAAACUAAUUUCACCAAAAUGUUAAUGACUAAAGUUUGCAAACAUCUUUCACCAUUAAGAAAGAUAACUUAAGAGACCCAGAUAUCAGUUCAAGGGAAAAAUUAUUUUAUAAUUCCAGACGUUGCAAGGAAAUGUUGGAGAAAUAUUUUGGUCAUUAUUAUAGAUAGGUAGCCUUCCUCUUGCCUUUUCUCAAGAAAUGGAGAAUACAUAUGCUUUGCAUUUGAGUCCAGUGAUUAAAUAGGAUUGCCACUCAUUUCCCCACACUAGGUCAUAUUUUAUUCAACUUUAUAAAAGGCAAAAGACAUUCCUGCCCAGUUCCAGAACAAGAUGGUACCGAUUUACUUUUUCUGAUGGGUGGUCUUGUCUAUACUUCCCUACAAAUACAACUAAAUUCCUUGCAAGUUAUAUAACAAACAAUGAGAUAGUUCUGAAGACUAGAGAGAAGAAAGUAAAAGGUUAGGGACUUUAGGGCUUGAGUACCAGUGCUUUGUGAGUUACCUGUGCUUCAUUUUUAUCUCCCAUGUGCUCUUGAAUUGGGCAUCAUGCAGGCUUGAAAGCCAACAUCCUCCCCUACCCCCAAGAAAAGACAAAUGA